rnacentral:rRNA from 1 species
AUUGAACGCUGGCGGCAUGCUUUACACAUGCAAGUCGAACGGACCUAGGGGCUUGCUCCUAGGUUAGUGGCGAACGGGUGAGUAAUGCAUCGGAACGUACCGUGUAAUGGGGGAUAACGCAGCGAAAGUUGUGCUAAUACCGCAUACGAUCUACGGAUGAAAGCAGGGGAUCGCAAGACCUUGCGUUAUACGAGCGGCCGAUGUCGGAUUAGCUAGUUGGUAGGGUAAAGGCCUACCAAGGCAACGAUCCGUAGCGGGUCUGAGAGGAUGAUCCGCCACACUGGGACUGAGACACGGCCCAGACUCCUACGGGAGGCAGCAGUGGGGAAUUUUGGACAAUGGGCGCAAGCCUGAUCCAGCCAUGCCGCGUGAGUGAAGAAGG